CUUGCCGCCGAAGUGAGUGAUACCCUGCUUCCAGGAAAAGCCACUAAGCUUCAGCUACACACGACCGUACCGCAAACCGACACUGGUGCGCGAGAUGAGUAUUCUAAGGCGCUUGAGAGAACUCUGGAGAAGGAACUCGGCAAAUUGACACCGUAACUUCGGAAGAAGGUGUGCCUUUAGUAGGUGAACCAGUACAUGGGGAGCCCAAUGAGGCCGCAGAGAAUCGGUGGCUGCAACUGUUUAAUAAAAACACAGCACUCUGCAAAGACGAAAGUCGACGUAUAGGGUGUGACGCCUGCCCGGUGCUGGAAGAUUAAAUGAUGGGGUGCAAGCUCUUGACUGAAGUCCCAGUAAACGGCGGCCGUAACGAUAACGGUCCUAAGGUAGCGAAAUUCCUUGUCGGGUAAGUUCCGACCUGCACGAAUGGCGUAAUGAUGGCCACACUGUCUCCUCCAGAGACUCAGCGAAGUUGAAAUGUUUGUGAUGAUGCAAUCUCCCCGCGGAAAGACGGAAAGACCCCAUGAACCUUUACUGUAGCUUUACAUUGGACUUUGAACAGAUCUGUGUAGGAUAGGUGGGAGGCUUUGAAGCGGUGCCGCUAGGUGUCGUGGAGCCAACCUUGAAAUACCACCCUGGUGUGUUUGAGGUUCUAACCUUGGCCCGUGAUCCGGGUUGGGGACAGUGUAUGGUGGGCAGUUUGACUGGGGCGGUCUCCUCCCAAAGUGUAACGGAGGAGUUCGAAGGUACGCUAAAUACGGUCGGAAAUCGUGUUGAUAGUGCAUUGGCAUAAGCGUGCUUGACUGCGAGACUGACAAGUCGAGCAGGUACGAAAGUAGGACAAAGUGAUCCGGUGGUUCUGUAUGGAAGGGCCAUCGCUCAACGGAUAAAAGGUACUCUGGGGAUAACAGGCUGAUACCGCCCAAGAGUUCAUAUCGACGGCGGUGUUUGGCACCUCGAUGUCGGCUCAUCUCAUCCUGGGGCUGUAGCCGGUCCCAAGGGUAUGGCUGUUCGCCAUUUAAAGAGGUACGUGAGCUGGGUUUAAGACGUCGUGAGACAGUUUGGUCCCUAUCUUCCGUGGGCGCUGCAAGAUUGAGAGAGCCUGCUCCUAGUACGAGAGGACCGGAGUGGACGCACCUCUGGUGUAUCGGUUGUCACGCCAGUGGCAUUGCCGAGUAGCUAAGUGCGGAAGAGAUAACCGCUGGAAGCAUCUAAGCGGGAAACUCGUCUCAAGAUGAGUCUUGCCGGGGCCUUGAGCCCCCUGAAGGGUCGUUCGAGACCAGGACGUUGAUAGGCUGGGUGUGGAAGCGCAGUAAUGCGUUAAGCUAACCAGUACUAAUUGCCCGUGAGGCUUGACU
rnacentral:rRNA from 1 species